rnacentral:tRNA from 1 species
GGAGUGGUAGUUCAGUUGGUUAGAAUACCGGCCUGUCACGCCGGGGNGGGGUCGCGGGUUCGAGUCCCGUCCACUCCGCCA